GCCGGGCGUGGUGGCGCACGUCUGUAAUCCCAGCUACUUGGGAGGCUGAGGCAGGAGAAUCGCUUGAACCCAGGAGGCGGAGGUUGCAGUGAGCUGAGAUUGCACCACUGCACUCCAGCCUGGGCAACAAAGCGAGACUCCGUCUCAA
rnacentral:SRP_RNA from 1 species